UGUGAAAUUACCAAUGUGGAAAAUCAAAACAUAAAUACUUUGUCAACAGUUGCGCCACUUCUAAGAUUUUGAAGCAAAAUGGAAUUUGGUGAUCUUGAUGGUCUCCAGUUACUGUUAGAUGCUGCCUCCCAGGUCGAUCAGCAACAACAGAUUGACGUUCCUCCAGCAACUUUAGAACAAAUUCCGAGUGUAGGCUGUUACGAAGAAGUGGGAACUACUCAUCCUGAAGAAUUUGUUCAUCCACCGGCAGCACUUACACUGCAUGGUCCUGAUCAGCGGAUUCAGAAAAAUCUACAUGGAACACAAGAGCAGCAGCCUCUUGACGACAUUCAAAAUGAGCGACAACCCGAUGAAACUUGUUCCAGCGACAGAAAUAAGGAUCCAAAAAAUGAAACCGGUCCGGCAUCAUUUUCAUUUUUUUCGUUAUCUCUGUCCCAACGUGUUGUUUCGACUCCAUUACACGGUCUUGUAAAUCCACAAACGAAAUUUUCAAAUCCGUUGGACCUUUCCAUUUCGACUACUAUGACCGCUGAUGAAGGUCCUCUCGAUCUGUCCAUCGGCCCUCACACAGCUAACGAUUCUGAGAAGGCAAUCGAUUUAGUUCUUCCUAGAACCGUUACAACCAGUCAUUCCACUUGAUUUACGGACCACAAACUUAAACGUACUUGUUCAUCAAAAUCAGCGAGACACAAGCUUCUCUACAGUCGACGGACAGCGAGCUUUUUCCCGGCUUGACAAUGAAUGCGCUGGCCCUUCUUCCAUUGGAGUCGAUAACAGCAACGAGGUGGGAGCGAUUUCGCCCUUGAAGCGGGAGACGUUUGAAGCAGUUGAGGGGUUGCUUCUAACGAAUAAAUCCGAAACGGCACCUGAAGUUUCCUCGGAACACCCUGAUGCGCACUUGACCGAAAAACUUGUUACUUCUCAACAAACCAGUUGUCCCGGUUCCAUCGGGAAAAUAAUACAGAAUGUAAAGAGCGACGAAAACCGAGCUGUUCAUCGACGAUCAUUAGAAUGUCAUCUCGGUAACACUUCCCACAGUGGGGUAAAAAAUGCCAACGAAACAGGUGGGACUUCGCCCAUGAAACGUGAAGCGGUCGAAGCAUUAGAGGAUUUUCCUAUAUCAAAGAAAUCCGGAGCGACUCCCGAGGUUGUCCUGGGUAUACAACUUUUUUUUAUAUUGUGUGGUGCCGAUAUAACAAUUUGUUAUACUUCUAUUUAGGGUGCUCUAAUGUUCAGUUGGACGAACCAUCAACCUCCAACGAAUCAACAAAUGUCGCGAAGUCACCGGGAAAGCUUCACAUACUACAGAGGGUGUCGAAAGACGAACUGUUUCUCGACAAUCAUUUGCCGAAGUCAGAAGCACAAACGAGAUGGGUGGAACUUUGUCCAUGGAGUGUGAAACGUUUGAAGUAACAAAGAAAUCAGGAAUGGUGCCAGAGCAGAUGGAAGGCCACUCAUCAAGACCACAAAAAACGGACAUACUUUUCGAUGGUCCUGUAAACGAUUCGGAUGACGAGGAAGGUGAUCCCACUCUUCUAAACGAAUUAUCUAUCUUCGAAUAUUUUGAAUAAUUUCAAAAUAUUGAAUCCGACGAUGACGACUCAGAUGUAGAGUAUGACGAGCAUCUACGGCUAAUUUCCGAGUCAGUCGUAGAUUCAGAUGAUGAUCACGGGCAGAAACAGG